UACGUAGGGGGCAAGCGUUGUCCGGAAUCAUUGGGCGUAAGGAGCGUGUAGGCGGCUUGGUAAGUCCGCUGUGAAAGUCCAGGGCUCAACCCUGGAAUGCCGGUGGAAACUGUCAAGCUUGAGUCCGGAAGAGGCGAGUGGAAUUCCUGGUGUAGCGGUGAAAUGCGCAGAUAUCAGGAGGAACACCAAUGGCGAAGGCAGCUCGCUGGGACGGUACUGACGCUGAGACGCGAAAGCGUGGGGAGCAAACAGG
rnacentral:rRNA from 1 species